AUUGAACGCUGGCGGCAGGCCUAACACAUGCAAGUCGAGCGGAUGAAGGGAGCUUGCUCCUGGAUUCAGCGGCGGACGGGUGAGUAAUGCCUAGGAAUCUGCCUGGUAGUGGGGGACAACGUCCGGAAACGGGCGCUAAUACCGCAUACGUCCUGAGGGAGAAAAUGGGGGAUCUUCGGACCUCACGCUAUCAGAUGAGCCUAGGUCGGAUUAGCUAGUUGGUGGGGUAAAGGCCUACCAAGGCGACGAUCCGUAACUGGUCUGAGAGGAUGAUCAGUCACACUGGAACUGAGACACGGUCCAGACUCCUACGGGAGGCAGCAGUGGGGAAUAUUGGACAAUGGGCGAAAGCCUGAUCCAGCCAUGCCGUGUGUGUGAAGAAGGUCUUCGGAUUGUAAAGCACUUUAAGUUGGGAGGAAGGGCAGUAAGUUAAUACCUUGCUGUUUUGACGUUACCAACAGAAUAAGCACCGGCUAACUUCGUG
rnacentral:rRNA from 1 species